CCCCCUUGUGGGGUACUCGAGUGGCGAACGGGUGAGUAACACGUGAGUAACCUACCCUUGACUUUGGGAUAACUUCAGGAAACUGGGGCUAAUACCGGAUAGGAGCUCCUGCUGCAUGGUGGGGGUUGGAAAGUUUCGGCGGUUGGGGAUGGACUCGCGGCUUAUCAGCUUGUUGGUGGGGUAGUGGCUCACCAAGGCUUUGACGGGUAGCCGGCCUGAGAGGGUGACCGGCCACAUUGGGACUGAGAUACGGCCCAG
rnacentral:rRNA from 1 species